CCCAGCAGUCAGUAUCUCAGCUUCCACAGUCAAAUGUUCAGACCACUCCAUCAUUGUCAGAGCAAAUUGGCAUUCAGGAGCAAACAAGAAAGCAGCAGCAGAAUCAACCUUCUCUAACUGCGCCAUCUGCUUCUCGCCCACCCUCAAACCUUCAACCUCCAUCCUUGCCGUCUCAUCCAUUGCAGUCAGUGCAGCAGCCAAAGAGACAUAUUGGUGCUCAAGCCACACCAAUCUCUUUACCACAAACCUCUCAAAUUCCUAACAUGCCAUCGCUUCCUCAUCAUUCUGCUUCACCGCUGCCAUCUCAUCUUCAAUCACAAAUGCCUCCGGCAUCCUCCCAGUUGGAACAACCAAUGCAAACUAGUGGCAACCAACACCUCAUUAUGCAACCACAGCUACCACCACAAGUGAGACCACCAAUGCAACCCUUCCCCCAUCAAGUUCACCUUCACAUGGGGCCGAAUGUUGGUUUUUCUC
rnacentral:lncRNA from 1 species